AGCGUGUGGUGGUCAUUGUGAGCUCUGUCUUGUUCUUCCAGACACCUGUUUCACCUAUAAACUCUAUCGGCACCGGGAUUGCCCUUGCUGGAGUUUUUCUCUAUUCAAGAGUGAAGCGCAUUAAGCCAAAGCCAAAAACAGCUUGAAGUUGUUGCUUUUAACGGAGUUUUUUGAUGAUAGCAAAGGAACUUGUUUGUAGAUCAGCCAGAAGUUCGAUU
rnacentral:misc_RNA from 1 species